GGUAUUUUGACUAUACGAAGGUAUUGAAAUAAGGCUUUUAUUGGGUACUAAGAGAAUGGUUGAACAGAGAUUAACUUUCUUUUAACUUAAAAUGGAAUUUAAUUUAAAAAUGAAAAAGUUUUUAUAAACUUUUGGGACAAGAAGACCCUAUGAAUUUUUUUUAUAAAUGUAUUUUUUAAUUUUUAAUUAAAGUAAGUAAAAUAUUUUUAUAAAUUGAUUGGGGUGAUUUUUAAAGAAUAUAUAUCUUAUAAAGAUGAUGUAAUUAGAACCAUAAUUUUUGGUUAUUUGAUUAAAAUACUCUAGGGAUAACAGCGUAAUUAUUUUGGAUAGUUCAUAUAGGUAAAAUAGUUUGCGACCUCGAUGUUGGAUUAAGAUACUUAUAUAAUGAAGUAGUUAU
rnacentral:rRNA from 1 species